UACGUAGGGCGCAAGCGUUGUCCGGAUUUAUUGGGCGUAAAGAGCUCGUAGGCGGUUUGUCGCGUCUUCCGUGAAAACUGGGGGCUUAACUUCCAGCUUGCGGUGGAUACGGGCAGACUGGAGUACUGCAGGGGAGACUGGAAUUCCUGGUGUAGCGGUGGAAUGCGCAGAUAUCAGGAGGAACACCGGUGGCGAAGGCGGGUCUCUGGGCCGAUACUGACGCUGAGGAGCGAAAGCGUGGGGAGCGAACAGG
rnacentral:rRNA from 1 species